rnacentral:rRNA from 1 species
UACGAAGGGUGCAAGCGUUACUCGGAAUACUGGGCGUAAAGCGUGCGCAGGCGGUUGUGCAAGACAGAUGUGAAAUCCCCGGGCUCAACCUGGGAAUUGCAUUUGUGACUGCACGGCUAGAGUGUGUCAGAGGGGGGUAGAAUUCCACGUGUAGCAGUGAAAUGCGUAGAGAUGUGGAGGAACACCGAUGGCGAAGGCAGCCCCCUGGGGUUAACACUGACGCUCAGGCACGAAAGCGUGGGGAGCAAACAGG